rnacentral:rRNA from 1 species
AACGAACGCUGGCGGCAGGCCUAACACAUGCAAGUCGAGCGCACCCUUCGGGGUGAGCGGCGGACGGGUGAGUAACGCGUGGGAACGUGCCCUUCUCUGCGGAAUAGCCUCGGGAAACUGAGAGUAAUACCGCAUACGCCCUUUGGGGGAAAGAUUUAUCGGAGAAGGAUCGGCCCGCGUUGGAUUAGGUAGUUGGUGGGGUAAUGGCCCACCAAGCCGACGAUCCAUAGCUGGUUUGAGAGGAUGAUCAGCCACACUGGGACUGAGACACGGCCCAGACUCCUACGGGAGGCAGCAGUGGGGAAUCUUAGACAAUGGGGGCAACCCUGAUCUAGCCAUGCCGCGUGAGUGAUGAAGGCCUUAGGGUUGUAAAGCUCUUUCAGCUGGGAAGAUAAUGACGGGACCAGCAGAAGAAGCCCCGGCUAACUCCGU